UACGUAGGGUGCGAGCGUUGUCCGGAAUUAUUGGGCGUAAAGAGCUCGUAGGCGGUCUGUCGCGUCGGCUGUGAAAACACGGGGCUCAACUCCGUGCCUGCAGUCGAUACGGGCAGACUAGAGUUCGGUAGGGGAGACUGGAAUUCCUGGUGUAGCGGUGAAAUGCGCAGAUAUCAGGAGGAACACCGGUGGCGAAGGCGGAUCCCUGGGCCUUACCUGACGCUGAGGCGCGAAAGCUAGGGGAGCGAACAGG
rnacentral:rRNA from 1 species